UACGUAGGGUGCGAGCGUUAAUCGGAAUUACUGGGCGUAAAGCGUGCGCAGGCGGUGAUGUAAGACAGAUGUGAAAUCCCCGGGCUCAACCUGGGAACUGCAUUUGUGACUGCAUCGCUGGAGUGCGGCAGAGGGGGAUGGAAUUCCGCGUGUAGCAGUGAAAUGCGUAGAUAUGCGGAGGAACACCGAUGGCGAAGGCAGCCUUCUGGGCCAACACUGACGCUCAUGCACGAAAGCGUGGGGAGCAAACAGG
rnacentral:rRNA from 1 species